GCAUUAAUGGGGUAGUGGUAACCUGGGUCGUUGCCACUUCGUUGGUUAAGUUAGAUCGACCCGCCGGGGGUUCGAUUCCCCCUUAAUGCA